AUUGAACGCUGGCGGCAUGCCUUACACAUGCAAGUCGAACGGCAGCACGGGGCAACCUGGUGGCGAGUGGCGAACGGGUGAGUAAUGCAUCGGAACGUACCUUUCAGUGGGGGAUAACGUAGCGAAAGUUACGCUAAUACCACAUAUUCUGUGAGCAGGAAAGCAGGGGAUCGCAAGACCUUGCGCUGAUUGAGCGGCCGAUGUCAGAUUAGCUAGUUGGUGAGGUAAAGGCUCACCAAGGCGACGAUCUGUAGCGGGCCUGAGAGGAUGAUCCGCCACACUGGAACUGAGACACGGUCCAGACUCCUACGGGAGGCAGCAGUGGGGAAUUUUGGACAAUGGGGGCAACCCUGAUCCAGCCAUGCCGCGUGAGUGAAGAAGGCCUUCGGGUUGUAAAGCUCUUUCGGCCGGGAAGAAAUCGCACGGGCUAAUACCCUGUGUGGAUGAUGGUACCGGAAUAAGAAGCACCGGCUAACUACGUGCCAGCCGCCGCGGUAAGAC
rnacentral:rRNA from 1 species